GUGUUGCCUCUUUUUUUUUUGAUUUCAUGUUUUGUAGCCCUAGGUUCUUCAACAUGUCUCUGUCUCUCUCAACUCUGCCUCUCUCUCUCACACUUGAACAAAGAUGAGUGACGAGUGGUAAUCGGCGACAAUGGUAGCUAGCGGCGAUCGGCAACAAUAGUGGCGAGCAGCAAUCGAAACAUUGAUUUGAAGAUUCAACUUAUAGAAAUGCAGAAUCAACUAAAUAAAUGCUCUCAAUUCAUUUUGUUUCUUAUAUUGUUUUUUCUUUUGGAAGCGCACAAACAACCUCAGGCAAUAUGAUUGUCAAGGAGAGCAGAUAGGAUUAAGCCAGUGGAAUCUGUGGAUUUUUUUUUUUCCUUUCCUUGUUUUAGUGUUUCUAAUGGAUCUUUGAAAUUUGUGGUUGAAUCUCUGAAAUUUGUGGUCAGAUGGUUGUGCUUUGUUUUUUUGCUUUAAAAAAUUAAUUUUCUUUUCUCAA